rnacentral:rRNA from 1 species
GAUGAACGCUAGCGGUGUGCUUAAUGCAUGCAAGUCGAACGGGAUCCCAUGGAUUCGUCCAGGGUGAGAGUGGCGGACGGGUGAGUAACGCGUUGGUGACCUGCCUCGGAGAGGGGGACAACCAUUGGAAACGAUGGCUAAUACCCCGGAUGUUAUCGAGUUUAGAAAUCGAUAACUAAAGCUCUGGCGCUCCGAGAGGGGCCAGCGUCCCAUCAGCUUGUUGGUAAGGUAACGGCUUACCAAGGCUCAGACGGGUAGGGGGCGUGAGAGCGUGACCCCCCCACACUGGUACUGAAACACGGUCCAUACACCUACGGGUGGCAGCAGUAGGGAAUAUUGCUCAAUGGGCGAAAGCCUGAUCCAGCCAUGCCGCGUGAGUGAAGAAGGCCUU